GUUAUUUAUUUGAUUUAAAUAUUGGGAAAAUCCCCCUUUAAAAAGGUCUCAUAUCACACAGGCGGAGAAAUAUACAACACGAUGAAAUGUACAUCAUUACCUGUUGAAAACUGCAAUCAAUGGUGAACGAAUUCGUUUGUUUACAGACUAAAAUAUCAACAGUAAACAUAAAACAUAAUGAUUUAUAGGUUGCAAACAAAAA
rnacentral:lncRNA from 1 species